UACGGGGGGGGGCAAGCGUUGUUCGGAAUUACUGGGCGUAAAGGGCUCGUAGGCGGCCAACUAAGUCAGACGUGAAAUCCCUCGGCUUAACCGGGGAACUGCGUCUGAUACUGGAUGGCUUGAGGUUGGGGAGAGGGAUGCGGAAUUCCAGGUGUAGCGGUGAAAUGCGUAGAUAUCUGGAGGAACACCGGUGGCGAAGGCGACAUCCUGGACCAAUUCUGACGCUGAGGAGCGAAAGCCAGGGGAGCAAACGGG
rnacentral:rRNA from 1 species